rnacentral:tRNA from 4 species
GCUGAUUUGGCCGAGUGGUCUAAGGCGGUGGUCUUAAGCACCAUUAUCGAGAGAUGCGUGAGUUCGAACCUCACAGUCAGCA